UAUGUGAUCGUCUCUCGCAUAUCAAUAAGCGGAGGAAAAGAAACUAACAAGGAUUCCCUUAGUAACGGCGAGUGAACGGGGAGGAGCCCAGCGCUGAAUCUCUCGGUGUUAUGCCGUUGAGAAGUGUAGCGUAUAGGUGUGGCUUUCAGUUUGUGCCGCAUGUCCAAAGUCCCUUUGAUAGGGGCCACAUUCCCGAGAGGGUGCGAGACCUGUGCGGACAGUGGAGCAAGCUGUAUGGACAUAUCUUGGAGUCGGGUUGCUUGAAAGUGCAGCCUAAAGUGGGUGAUAAACUUCAUCUAAGGCUAAAUAUUGGCGAGAGACCGAUAGCGAACAAGUACCGUGAGGGAAAGAUGAAAAGAACUUUGAAAAGAGAGUUAAACAGUACGUGAAAUUGUCAAAAGGGAAGCGUUUGACACCAGUGUUGUUUUUCUGAAAAUCAAUUAAAGAACUGUUUAUGCUAAGUUGUUUAGACUUUAUCAGCUAACUGUUUAGUUUUGAGCUUUUCUUUAAUGCACUUUUCAGUUAACAAGUCAACAUCAAUUUCUUUUGCUGUAAAAAAGCUUGAGGAAGGUGGCUUGAGAUUCGUCUUAAGUGUUUAUAGCCUCUUGCCUAUGCAGUCGGAGAGAUUGAGGUCUGCAGCGUAGAUCCUUCGGGGCUAAAUGCAUUUGUGCUAAGUUAUAGCAUUUUAUAGACAACUUGUUGACUAUGAUUUGUCUUGUAGCUUACUCGCUUAUGUUAUUUUACCUACGCUUAGGAUGUUGAAGAUAUGCGCGACACG
rnacentral:rRNA from 1 species